CCCUUAGAUGUUCUGGGCGGCCCGCGCACUACAUUGGCACUAGCAAAGAGAUCCUAGAUUGAAUUCUUUGGGGUAUUCUUCUAAAUGGUGUCGUGACUGGGAUAAAUCCCUGUAAUUAUUGGUUUUGAACGAGGAAUUCCUUGUAAUCGCGGUUUAUCAGCUCGCGUUGAAUGCGUCCCUGCCCUUUGUACACACCGCCCGUCGCUCCUACCGAUGGAUCGUCCGGUGAAGCUCACGGAGUGACUGUUCACGCAACGGUUUACGAAGUGAAAUGGACCUCACGAUUUAGAGGAAGGAGAAGUCGUAACA
rnacentral:rRNA from 1 species